UCUGUGUGGGGAACAUGAGAGCCAGACCAAAGCUCAGAGGAACCAACCUGGACCUCAACCCAGCUGUGUGUCCUUAAAGAGUGACCAGUCUAAAAAACGCUUGAUUGAAUUUAAGGAACAACCCUCUGCUGCAGAGAGG